AUGACGUACUUGUACUGAUUGAGAUUUUAACACGAAGUGAGUGGCGAACGGGUGAGUAACACGUGGGUAACCUGCCCAGAAGUAGGGGAUAACACCUGGAAACAGAUGCUAAUACCGUAUAACAGAGAAAACCGCAUGGUUUUCUUUUAAAAGAUGGCUCUGCUAUCACUUCUGGAUGGACCCGCGGCGUAUUAGCUAGUUGGUGAGGUAAAGGCUCACCAAGGCAGUGAUACGUAGCCGACCUGAGAGGGUAAUCGGCCACAUUGGGACUGAGACACGGCCCAGACUCCUACGGGAGGCAGCAGUAGGGAAUCUUCCACAAUGGACGCAAGUCUGAUGGAGCAACGCCGCGUGAGUGAAGAAGGGUUUCGGCUCGUAAAGCUCUGUUGUUAAAGAAGAACGUGGGUAAGAGUAACUGUUUACCCAGUGACGGUAUUUAACCAGAAAGCCACGGCUAACUACGUGCCAGCAGCCGCGGUAAUACGUAGGUGGCAAGCGUUAUCCGGAUUUAUUGGGCGUAAAGCGAGCGCAGGCGGUCUUUUAAGUCUAAUGUGAAAGCCUUCGGCUCAACCGAAGAAGUGCAUUGGAAACUGGGAGACUUGAGUGCAGAAGAGGACAGUGGAACUCCAUGUGUAGCGGUGAAAUGCGUAGAUAUAUGGAAGAACACCAGUGGCGAAGGCGGCUGUCUGGUCUGCAACUGACGCUGAGGCUCGAAAGCAUGGGUAGCGAACAGGAUUAGAUACCCUGGUAGUCCAUGCCGUAAACGAUGAUUACUAAGUGUUGGAGGGUUUCCGCCCUUCAGUGCUGCAGCUAACGCAUUAAGUAAUCCGCCUGGGGAGUACGACCGCAAGGUUGAAACUCAAAAGAAUUGACGGGGGCCCGCACAAGCGGUGGAGCAUGUGGUUUAAUUCGAAGCUACGCGAAGAACCUUACCAGGUCUUGACAUCUUCUGACAGUCUAAGAGAUUAGAGGUUCCCUUCGGGGACAGAAUGACAGGUGGUGCAUGGUUGUCGUCAGCUCGUGUCGUGAGAUGUUGGGUUAAGUCCCGCAACGAGCGCAACCCUUAUUACUAGUUGCCAGCAUUAAGUUGGGCACUCUAGUGAGACUGCCGGUGACAAACCGGAGGAAGGUGGGGACGACGUCAAAUCAUCAUGCCCCUUAUGACCUGGGCUACACACGUGCUACAAUGGAUGGUACAACGAGUCGCGAGACCGCGAGGUUAAGCUAAUCUCUUAAAACCAUUCUCAGUUCG
rnacentral:rRNA from 1 species